rnacentral:rRNA from 1 species
AUGGCGCUGGUCGAUUGGAUAGAACUGAGUGAUGAUGCAGAGAUUAUUGAAUUGAGCAGUGGCGAGGAGAAUGUCGAAGAAUAUCAGGAAGCUUCCACACAGAGCAACUCAGCUCAGCACCAAGCUACAUUGCAUGAUGAUCAGACCGUGUUUGUCGCAGAUGGUGAAGGAAGGGAAGAGGCUACCGAAUCUGGAAAUGCAGAGGAAGCUACCGCAUCCUCCUCCGUUACUGAAAAGGAGUCUGGCAAUCCAGAGGAAGCUGCUGUAUCACAGACUUGUCCUCACACUCCAACAGCCGUUGUUACUGAAAAGGAGUCUGGUAAUCCACAGGAAGCUACUGUAUCACAAACUUGUCCUCACACUGCAACAGCUGUGACAUUCCCCGGUAUAUUCUUCUUCAUUCCUCUCUCAGUUCAAUAA